rnacentral:tRNA from 1 species
AGCUAUAUAGUUUAAAUAAAACAUUAAUUUUGUAAAUUAAAAUUAAAUUAUAAUUUUAUAGCUU